rnacentral:rRNA from 1 species
GACGAACGCUGGCGGCGUGCUUAACACAUGCAAGUCGAACGAAGUGGCGAACGGGUGCGUAACGCGUAAUCAACCUGCCCUUCAGAGGGGGACAACAGUUGGAAACGACUGCUAAUACCGCAUACUGAAGGUGGGGAUUGCGUCUGAUUAGCUAGUUGGAGGGGUAACGGCCCACCAAGGCGAUGAUCAGUAGCCGGUCUGAGAGGAUGAUCGGCCACACGGGGACUGAGACACGGCCCAGACUCCGACGGGAGACAGCAGUGGGGAAUCUUCGGCAAUGGACGAAAGUCUGACCGAGCAACGCCGCGUGAGUGAAGAAGGUUUUCGGAUCGUAAAACUCUGUUGUUAGAGAAGCGGUAUCUAACCAGAAAGCCACGGCUAACUACGUGCCAGCAGCCGCGGUAAUUC